UAUCUCUGUAGAGUCUGCAUAUCAAUAAGCGGAGGAAAAGAAACUAACUAGGAUUCCCUCAGUAACGGCGAGUGAAGCGGGAAGAGCUCAAAUUUGAAAUCUUCAAGGUUUUACCUUGACGAAUUGUAGUUUAAAGAAGUGUUUUCUGUUGGAAUUUUGGUAAAAGUUCUUUGGAAAAAGACAUCAAUAGAGGGUGAGAAUCCCGUAUUUGACCAUUAUUUCCAGCUGUGUGAUACACUUUCAAAGAGUCGGAUUGUUUGGGAAUGCAGUCCAAAAUGGGUGGUAAAUUUCAUCUAAAGCUAAAUACUUGGCGAGAGACCGAUAGCGAACAAGUACCGUGAGGGAAAGAUGAAAAGAACUUUGAAAAGAGAGUUAAACAGUACGUGAAAUUGUCAAAAGGGAAGCGUUUGACACCAGUGUUGUUUUCUCGAAAAUCAAUUAAAAAUGAUUGAUUUUGUGUUGUAUUGACCUUAUAAGCUUUCUGCACUUUUUUCAUGUCUUUUUUAAUGCACUUUUCGUUUAACAAGUCAACAUCAGUUUCUUUUGUUGUAAAAGGGUCAUUGGAAGGUGGCUUUCUUUUCGGAGAAAGUGUUUAUAGCCUUUGGACUUCUGCAAUCGGAGAGAUUGAGGUCUGCAGCGUAGAUCCUUCGGGGUUAGAUACAUUUGUGCUAAGUUAUAGCCUUUCAUAGACAACUUGUUGACUAUGAUCAGUCAUGUAGCUUACUCGCUUAUGUCAUUUUACCUACGCUUAGGAUGUUGAUCUCUCACAGUCGAGC
rnacentral:rRNA from 1 species